UACAGAGGGGGCAAGCGUUGUUCGGAAUUACUGGGCGUAAAGGGCGCGUAGGCGGCCUUCUAAGUCGAACGUGAAAUCCCCGGGCUCAACCCGGGAACUGCGUCCGAUACUGGAAGGCUUGAAUCCGGGAGAGGGAUGUGGAAUUCCAGGUGUAGCGGUGAAAUGCGCAGAUAUCAGGAGGAACACCAAUUGCGAAGGCAGCUCGCUGGGACGUUACUGACGCUGGAGACGCGAAAGCGUGGGGAGCAAACAGG
rnacentral:rRNA from 1 species